rnacentral:tRNA from 1 species
GCCUGGGUGGCUCAGUCGGUUGAGCAUCCGACUUUGGCUCAGGUCAUGAUCUCACAGCUCGUGAGUUCGAGCCCCGCGUCAGGCU